GACGAACGCUGGCGGCGUGCUUAACACAUGCAAGUCGAACGGAAAGGCCCUGCUUUUGUGGGGUGCUCGAGUGGCGAACGGGUGAGUAACACGUGAGUAACCUGCCCUUGACUUUGGGAUAACUUCAGGAAACUGGGGCUAAUACCGGAUAGGAGCUCCCGCUGCAUGGUGGGGGUUGGAAAGUUUCGGCGGCUGGGGAUGGACUCGCGGCUUAUCAGCUUGUUGGUGGGGUAGUGGCUUACCAAGGCUUUGACGGGUAGCCGGCCUGAGAGGGUUAGCGGCCACAUUGGGACUGAGAUACGGCCCAGACUCCUACGGGGGGCAGCAGUGGGGAAUAUUGCACAAUGGGCGGAAGCCUGAUGCAGCAGCGCCGCGUGCGGGAUGACGGCCUUCGGGUUGUAAACCGCUUUCGCCUGUGACGAAGCGUGAGUGACGGUAAUGGGUAGAGAAGCACCGGCUAACUACGUG
rnacentral:rRNA from 1 species